GUGAAGCGUUUUGCUCCAUACAAAUCAUUCCUUGAUACCUUUCUUCUUGUUCUUUAACUCGAAGAUAUCUUCUGCGUCGCGAUUCUCAGGAGAUUAAUUAGCCCUGGAGUGCUCAACGUUUCCGAUUCUAUAUAUAGUAUAGGCUAUUAAAAAUGCUCUGUUCUUUGUACUAUACCUUUUUUCUCUCAGUGCAUACACAGCCGCUCCCCCCCUUGAGUGGGGGGCUGUAAUUGGCGUUACUCGAGAGGCUGGCAAAUGAAAAAUGAGCCCAGUUUGGGGCCCGCCCGAAUGUGCAAAUAAAUAAAUAAAUAGCUCAAAGGUGAUGUCAAGUGUCGAUUGGGUCACCGAGAGUAGAAAUUCGAUUUUUAGGGUACCAUUUGUUGGAGCAAAAUUGGAGCAAAGGAUGCUCUUUGCCACAAUAGUCCCGGCCAAUUAAAAAGCCCAUAAGUAGUGGAAAUAAUGACAGCAGCCCACAGAUGCAUUUGCCAAGUGUUAGUUUCGGGCUUAAUUAGCUUGGCCAAGGGGGCCAGCAGCGGCGGCAGCAGCAGGAGAACUUGAAACCGCCAACGCUUUGGCCAUUUGAAACUGUCAGCGACAGGCAGCACCGGACAGGACCCGACAUUCUGGGGGCCUGGGCCUGGGCUCCUGCUUGUGGGUCGACUGCUGCUGGCGGCGGCACAUGUCCACAAAACGUUGUAAUUUAUUAGCGGCAGUGGUCCACCCACCCCCCUGUCCGGGCACUGGUCCACCCACCCCCCCUGUCCGGGCACUGGUCCUACACACGCACCAUGAUAAAUGGCAUUUAUAUUGGGUUACACUUGGCCGACACACUGGAGGAAACACUUUUGCAUGCUGUAAUUAUCAAGGAUUCGUUCACAUUCGCCACGCCCUCCGCCCCCCGCCCCAGGUCCUGCCACUUCUGCGUCCUUUCUGCUGUUUGCUGGCUGCCUUUUCAGCUUUAAUUGCCCCUUUUUCUGGACUGUAAGCUGACAAACGCAAUUUGCCUAUACAUUAGCUGUGCUUAAUGCUGCCAAAUUUGGAGUAUUUGAAAGUAUCUGGGAGGAGCUGGAGCUAAAGCUGGAGCUGGCGAAGAUCGAAUAGUCCUCUCAAAUUGGGAGCCAUCUCACGCACUAACAAGCGGUGGAUAAUACAGGAAAAUCUGAGAAAAUGGAAAUAAAUCUCUCUCUCAGAUGCUACCCUUGGCACUAAUCGGAAUUUGGAAACCAAUCAAAGAGCGCUUCCGAUUCCCUCUCCGCUUACCUUUCUGAUUGAUGACCUUCGGACGACGACAACCCACCCCCACCCCUCCGGGAAAGUGUGGGGCGUGUGGAAUAUAUUGACAACUUUGAUCUUUUUAAUUUCUGCCCCUGGAAUUUGAAACUUUUUGCCGACCAGUUGUCACACACAUUUGGGAGUCAAGUUGUCAACGGCACUGUUGCCAUGUUUCCUCGUGCCUUUGCCCUUUAUUAUUAUUUUUUUUUUUGUUAACCCACCCCCGGGGUCCGAGGAGAGGGGAGUAACAGGAGCCACGCAGGUGGCAACUUGUCGCCACUUUAUUAACUGUCAAUCUGGUUGGCAUUUUUUGCGCUUUCGUGAGCUGGAAAUCCAAAAAAAUGUAAUACUCUUCCAAAGAUAGGGAGUCUGAAUUAGGUGUCGAAGAAAAUCCUUGCCUACAGAGAUUUGAUAGACGAUCUACUUGACAAUAAAUUUAUGUUUGUUUUGCCUUA